CCUACGGGAGGCAGCAGUAGGGAAUCUUCCACAAUGGACGAAAGUCUGAUGGAGCAACGCCGCGUGAGUGAAGAAGGGUUUCGGCUCGUAAAGCUCUGUUGGUAGUGAAGAAAGAUAGAGGUAGUAACUGGCCUUCAUUUGACGGGAAUUACUUAGAAAGUCACGGCUAACUACGUGCCAGCAGCCGCGGUAAUACGUAGGGGGCAAGCGUUGUCCGGAUUUAUUGGGCGUAAAGCGAGUGCAGGCGGUUCAAUAAGUCUGAUGGGAAAGCCUUCGGCUCAACCGGAGAAAUGCAUCAGAAACUGUUGAACUUGAGUGCAGGAGAGGAGAGUGGAACUCCAUGUGUAGCGGUGGAAUGCGUAGAUAUAUGGAAGAACACCAGUGGCGAAGGCGGCUCUCUGGUCUGCAACUGACGCUGAGGCUCGAAAGCAUGGGGAGCGAACAGGAUUAGAUACCCCUGUAGUC
rnacentral:rRNA from 1 species